rnacentral:lncRNA from 1 species
GGUCAGAAGUAGUGCACAAUAUAGGGAAUAGGGUGCCAAUUGGCAUACAUCCACUGCCAGCAGGCUGAGGUGGGGCCAUUGUUGAUGACACAUCAUUUGUCCUAUUGGAAUGGAAUAUGGGCAUUCUGAGGAUGACAACUACACACACACACAUUGUUUUCAGUCUCUUAUCUAUCAUAUAACAUGCAUACUCAGUGUUCUUUCUGUUAUCUGUCAAACGCUGAACGUCCGAUCAACAUGACUAUAUACAGUACUAACUGGGCCGUAACUCAUUUAGUUGUAAAAAUAAAACGUAAAGUUACUGUAAAUUGUUAGCACAAGAACAUUGUCUUAUAUGAUGCUACUUUUUAUGAUAGUAUAUGGCACAAGAGAAAAGACAUUUGUAAAGAGAGUGAAACAGUAAAGUAUGUUUUAAAGGACCUUUUGUAAGGGUGAAACAGUGAAACAGUAAAGUAUGUUUUAAAGGACCUUUUGUAAGGGUGAAACAGUAAAGAAUGUUUUAAAGGACCUUCUGUAAGGGUGAAACAGUGAAACAAACAGAAGCACAGUGCACCAACAAGAUGAAUCAUGCAGAUUUGAUGACGCACAUGCAAUUAAUAGUUUAGAGAAAACCCAAACUCAUUAAAGUGAUUAUAUGCAAAGCUAGAGUCCAUGUACAAGUUCAAGAAGAACCUGUUCAAAGAUAUGUAAGAGACAAUCAACGAGGUGCUAUGCGUUCUAUGGAAAAUAAUGAACUUCCAAGGAGUGGCAUUAUUUUCCAGAGAAUGCAUAGAGCCCCGAGUUGAUUGGGAGACUUAUGACUUAUGGCUUGAGGGUAGAAGCUGUUAAGAAGCCUUUUGGACCAAGACUUGGCGCUCCGGUACCGCUUGCCGUGCGGUAGCAGAGAGUACAGUCUAUGACUAGGGUGGCUGGACUCUUUGGAAAUUUUAAGGGCCUUCCUCUGACACCGCCUGGUAUAGAGGUCCUGGAUGGCAGUGAUGUACUGGGCCAUACGCACUACCCUCUGUAGUGCCGUGCUUCCGGAGGCCGAGCAGUUGCCAUAACAGGCAGUG